rnacentral:tRNA from 1 species
GAGGUUGUGGCUCAAUGGUAGAGCACUUACCUAGCACAUGUGAGGCACUGGGUUCAGUCCCCAGCACCACA